rnacentral:rRNA from 1 species
UACGUAGGGGGCUAGCGUUGUCCGGAAUCAUUGGGCGUAAAGCGCGUGUAGGCGGCCCGGUAAGUCCGCUGUGAAAGUCGGGGGCUCAACCCUGGAAAGCCGGUGGAUACUGUCGGGCUAGAGUCCGGAAGAGGCGAGUGGAAUUCCUGGUGUAGCGGUGGAAUGCGCAGAUAUCAGGAGGAACACCGAUGGCGAAGGCAGCUCGCUGGGACGGUACUGACGCUGAGGCGCGAAAGCGUGGGGAGCGAACAGG